rnacentral:rRNA from 1 species
UACAGAGGGGGUUAGCGUUGUUCGGAAUUACUGGGCGUAAAGCGCGCGUAGGCGGACCAGAAAGUUGGGGGUGAAAUCCCGGGGCUCAACCCCGGAACGGCCUCCAAAACUCCUGGUCUUGAGUUCGAGAGAGGUGAGUGGAAUUCCGAGUGUAGAGGUGAAAUUCGUAGAUAUUCGGAGGAACACCAGUGGCGAAGGCGGCUCACUGGCUCGAUACUGACGCUGAGGUGCGAAAGUGCGGGGAGCAAACAGG